UACGAAGGGGGCUAGCGUUGUUCGGAAUCACUGGGCGUAAAGCGCACGCAGGCGGAUCGUUAAGUCAGGGGUGAAAUCCCGAGGCUCAACCUCGGAACUGCCUUUGAUACUGGCGAUCUUUGAGUCCGGGAGAGGUGAGUGGAACUCCGAGUGUAGAGGUGAAAUUCGUAGAUAUUCGGAAGAACACCAGUGGCGAAGGCGGCUCACUGGCCCGGUACUGACGCUCAUGUGCGAAAGCGUGGGGGGCAAACAGGG
rnacentral:rRNA from 1 species